CCCCACCUUUUUUUCUCUUCUUUUUUUUUGUAUCCUUUUCCUUCUUUUUAUCUUCUGGCAUUAAUUUGAGUCGUGGUGCUCUCAUCCUCCAGCGACAAUGCCUUGCCGAAGCUCUUCCCCUGUCGGAGGAUAUUCUCUUGAAGUCAACGAUAUGAGACCUCCAAAGGAAAGUUCGUCAGUUGACAAGAAAAUCUAAGAAGCUGGAAGAUGAACUUCGUCGG
rnacentral:lncRNA from 1 species